GGCUGCUCUGGCGAGCGUCGCAGGCCUGGGCGCGGAAGGGCGAGGCUCCCGGAGGAGAUCCCGCGGGCACUUCCUUCCGGCCUCCUCGUUCCUGUCCCCGCCCGCCCCAGCAGGAACAUCCUCCUACCCAGGGCUCAGCCCCUCUCCCCAAUCUGAAGGUGCCCACCACUUGGGAGCUCUGCCCCCGGAGCCUGGAGAUCCCAUGCCAAGUUAGCAUCCACCUGCUACACGGGUCCCUUUGCUCAGGUGAUGGGAAAAGAGCUUCUGUCCAGCAUCUGAGGAGAGGGCGUGAAAAAGAUUUCAGGUCGUCAGGGUGCCGUCCAGUUCAGCUGUGUCACAAGAUCUGGAAGUGUGGGUGAGAGCACCGCAGGAUAUUCACAUGCACGAACCGACCUAGUGGUGAAGAAACCAAACCCCCAGUCACACGGAGGCUGCCUACUUCUCAUCUCCACCCACCCCUCCCUCGGAGAUACAGGGGGCAUUUUGGCUUUCCGUGUGGCUUAUCAGAUUGGUAUACAAGGGCCAUGUGAUGCUCCACGGUGACAGAAAACAGGGCAUGAGGCCCCAACCCAGGCCAGCUUGAGGCCCAGCACAUAUUGUCCAGCCUCUAAAUGUACCUCAAAAAGGAAGCUGCACGUUUAAUUUUUUUUUUGCUCCAUAUUAAAGAACAAAACAUGGGAACUGGACAGGUCUCUCUGUAAACAGAAAACACAUGUUUUCUGAGAGAAUGGCCUCUUCCUUUCCUGAUUUCUUCUCCAUGGACAAAGGCCUCCUUAGACCUCCUGGCUCCAAGAGCAGGGAGGCCUCAGCCCAGGGCUGAGAGGAGGUGACUCUUUGCCCAAUGAAGGAGACAACACAUUCUUAAAUGGGGGCAGGAACGGGGUGUUAAUGGGUCCACCCAGCAGUGGGGUGGGCCUGGGAUAUAGUCCCAGGAAGGAAGCCCCCAUGGACCUGAACAGGGUUUGGGUAGGGGGAGACACAGUCUGCACAGUUUAUAUCUUCCAAGCACUUGCAAAUUAUCCUGGAUUCUACCUGAGCUACCUCCAGAUGAACGUGUGUCCUUGGAACCUGCUAGCCACAAACAGGGGCAGAGACCUCUAACUCAGAAGGGAGGCUGGGUACCGAUAUCUGCAAAAAGCAAGCACAUUGAGACUUGAGACUUAAUACCCACUGCUGUGUGACCUCGGGCUAGUUUCUUAACCUCUCUGAGCCUUAGGUUUCUCAUCCGUAAAGUGGGAAUAGCAAUAUGUGGUUGUUGAGGAUUGAGCAAGGUAAUGGGUAUAGCCCUGUCAGACACAGAGAAGAGCUUAAUAAGUGAAUGAAAUCAAGCUUUGUCUCGGUUUAAAUGCUCAACUCCUCCCACACUCCUAGAGUGGCUCACAAUCACUCUGCAAGAACCCCAAGGAGCCCCUCCACUUUGCCCGGCUUCUGCUGGGUACCCAACAAGUACCAGGGCUCAGCCACACCCAGACCUGCUGACACCUCUUCGGAAGCAGUCAUCUUGGGAAUGGAUCAUUCCUUUGAAACCCCCCAGCAGCCUGAUCUUUGUCCUCAAGGGGAUAUUUGAUCUCGGGAAAUAACCAGACAUCCUUUGGGCCAAGUCUGCGGAGUAGAUACAUGGAAGCCAAGCCAGCGCCCCUGUCUGGGGCCAGAAUGUGCCACCAUUGUAAAAUCAGGAGACCCUGUGGCUCCUGCUUCUGCAGGCAGUUUGGAAGGAACGUCUGGAGCCCUCGUCUGGACUGGCUGCUGCUGACAUCAGUGGGCGCAAGCGUGCCAGUGUGCGCGUGUGUGAAAACGGAUAUGGUUGCACACACCCAGCUUGGUCGAUGAACCAAACCAAAGCCAGACUAAUUAGCACAAGGUCGCCUUUCAUAUCAAGCCCACAAUUUGACUUUCAUGGAAAUCUUUAUGGGAUGAUUCUGAGUGUUUUUGAUACAGGCAGAUGUGUAAGAGUGAGGAUGUAAGCUGUCCUGGAAGAAUAUGGGACUUAGAGAUUGGAUUUCCACCCAGCUCCGUCCCUGAUUGGCUGCUUGGCCUCUUGCUGGUCACUGCAUGGCUGUAGCUCUGUUUUUCCCUCUGAACAAUGAGGAUGAUGACGCCUGUCCUUAAUAUGAAAAGCAAACGGGAAAAAAAUGGAUAUGAACAUGCCUCAAAGUCCUGACCUCAUAUCAAGAGCCUUGAAAACAUGGACAUCCUUUGAUCUAACACUCUGCUGAUGAGAAUUUAUUCUCGGGAAAUUAGCAUAGCCAUACAUAAAAGUCAGUAUAAAUAUGUUCCCAGCAGCAUUAUUUAUAAUAGCAAAAGCCCUGCAGAGAUUAUAUGUCUGACAAUAGUAGCAAAAGUUAUAACCCACCCACAGGGUAGGACUCUCCGCAGUUCUCUGGGGUUCUCCAGGCAGGAAAUACACAGGCCAUGCCCACGUGGUGGGUGUACCUCAACCUGUGCUGGGGACAUUGCUUGCUAAAAAAAAAAUAAAUAAAUUAGCAUUCACCAAGCUCUAUUCACAAGAGCGAAAGGAGCAACCCAAUCGUCCACCCACAGCCAAACGGGGAAGCAAACCACUGGUGUACGACGGGCCCUCACAGUACGAAGGGUAAGUUGUCAGUAGACCCAGUGACACAGAAGAAUGUCGGUUAUGCUGAGCAAGAGUUAAUACUCUGUGACCCCAUUUGUAUUAGAUGCAGGUAAAACAUCUACAGCGCUAGGAUCCGGUUAGGUGGUUGCCUGGGGCCUGGGAAGUGGGGCCCACGUGCGUGGAGGGCCCAGGGGCCGUCUUGCAGUGGUAUUUUCUCUCUUGCCUGUGGUGGUUACACAGCUGUGUGCACUGGUCAAAACUCAUCAAACAGUACAAGUGAAAGGGAUCUUACUGCGUGGAAACUAUGCUUCCAUAAGGUUGAUUUUAAAAAUUAAUUGGCAUUUAGAUUUUAUUUUCCAAAUCCUGUAGAGAUUAAUAUUUAAUAACAUAAAAUGCUCACAACAUAUUAAACACAAAAAUUCUGAAAUACACACACACACACACACACACACACACACACACAGUACUUAAUGGAAACUGUACCAGAAGGACUUUCAACAAAAUGUACCCUGUGAUUAUCUCAUGGGUAAUUUUUGUUUUCUUUUUUGUGCUUUCCUGUAUUUCCAAAUUUUCUGUAAGAAACACUUUUUAUAAACAAAUUAAAUAAAAA